rnacentral:rRNA from 1 species
ACGCACGCUGGCGGCGCGCCUAACACAUGCAAGUCGAACGAGCGAGAGAGAGCUUGCUUUCUCGAGCGAGUGGCGAACGGGUGAGUAACGCGUGAGGAACCUGCCUCAAAGAGGGGGACAACAGUUGGAAACGACUGCUAAUACCGCAUAAGCCCACGGUGCCGCAUGGCACAGAGGGAAAAGGAGCAAUCCGCUUUGAGAUGGCCUCGCGUCCGAUUAGCUAGUUGGUGAGGUAAUGGCCCACCAAGGCGACGAUCGGUAGCCGGACUGAGAGGUUGAACGGCCACAUUGGGACUGAGACACGGCCCAGACUCCUACGGGAGGCAGCAGUGGGGAAUAUUGCACAAUGGGGGAAACCCUGAUGCAGCGACGCCGCGUGGAGGAAGAAGGUCUUCGGAUUGUAAACUCCUGUUGUUGGGGAAGAUAAUGACGGUACCCAACAAGGAAGUGACGGCUAACUACGUG